CUAGCUGUGUGUCCUCGCUCAGCCCUCGUUCCUCGCGGGGGUUACUAUAGCUACACUGCACACAGUAUUUCGGUCUCCGUAGUCGGUCCUGGCUGGCCGCAGGGAAGAGCCGGCACCAUGAGUCACGUAGUGACCAUCGAAGAGCCCCAGGCCAAGCUGCAGGUGUCUCAAACCCGGUGCGGAGGGAGGUCGGGGCCCUGGGGCAAAGUCUCUGCCAAUCGAACAUAUGAUUUCCUAUACGAUCCAUUGUUUAUCAUGUCAAGUGAGAAAGACCACAGCCAGGCAAAUAUUCAGGCCACCCUGAUUCGAAGCAAACUGAGAAGGGUUCCCAGGUAUAGAACCAUGUUCAGUAGCCUGAUUCAUUAUCCAAGAUAUUCUGUGUAUUGGAGCAAGGCAGAUCCUGUUCCAUCAUUCAUCAGUCAGGACUGGAAGGGACAUGAGGAGAGACACAAAGAAGCCCUCCGGAAACUUGCUGUAACUGACACUUCUUUUCAGAUGCCUAAAGAAGUUUAUGAAGAUCCUGAUGUUACUGGAAAGAAUCGCUAUAAAUAUUUUGAAAGGCCUUUCCUUCCAUUUUAUCAACAGAUGCCAUUCAAUGUUGUUUUUGCAUCAACCAGGGCAGAGCCAUAUACUUUUCCUCCUCCUUCUACUAAGUACCUCCCCAUUCCUUCAAAGUAUACUGUGGGCACUCAGACUGAUUAUCGCGAUGCCGAAGUUCAAACAGACCCGUAUUCUCCAGAAUACAUAGUAUGUCAGGAUUCCAUCCCUGAACUGCUGACCCUGGCAACUCUCACUUGGGGUCGAGGUCUCCCGGCAGGACAAGCUGAGGUAGAGAUGAUAGAACGUGCCCGGGAGAAGCGUGCUUGGGAAGCCACUCUCCCCCCUCUGAGUGACACCUCCCAGUUUGAGAAGAGGAGGAGGAUGAUGAAUGCCAUGGAGAGGAAGGAGUGGGCCUUCAGAGAGCAGGAGAUCGAAAAACUGCAGGAGAUUCGCCUGGAAGUUCUAAAAGAGCUGCUGAAGAAGCGUGAUGAGAAUCAAAAUGAAGUAAACAUGGCGUGCUUGAAUGCCCAGUGGUCUAAACUUCAGGAGGUGAAGGAGGCAAAGUUGGCACAGAUUCACCGCACACAUGUAUCAGCAAUCAGAAAACUUUUGGGAAAGGGAAAGAAUAUAGAAGGGAAGUUGGAGAGAAGAAAUAUCAUCAAGGAUUAUUCUGAUUAUGCAUCACAGGUCUAUGGACCUCUAUCUCGCCUUGGUCGUUUCACAGACAACAACUCAGAGGACUUUGUAGUAAAAAACCACUAUCUCAACACCUAUGAAGGAUUAGUCGAACUUGAGUCAUGUCUCCCAGAAUUUGUGACACAACCCCGAAUCAGACCUCCAAAACCAAAAGUCACUACCACCAAAGAUGGUUUUCUAAAGAGGGCUGCAAGGAUGGACCAUGAGUUGGCAGAGGUUCAUAAGGCACUGUUGGAAAAGAAGAAUAAGGGCCUCGAAGCAAAGAAACCAAUGCGUUUUCUUCAAAGAAAGCCAAUACCUCAACCUCGACUUCCAACUCCAACUUUGGAGUUGAGUUCCAAUGAAGAAGAAGAUAUAGAAAUGGCUGUGAUCUACCUUCAAAAGUUACUCCGGGGCAGAGUCGUUCAGAACAUGAUGUUUGAAGGGAAAGAGAAGCGGCUGGAGUUGAUCCAGGAGCUGCGCACCAGCCACGCACUGCAGGAAGAGGACAGGCUGGUGAAGAAAGCCGAGAAGCAGGUGACCCUGGCCUUGCAGCGACAGAGGAACUUGCACGAGCACAAGGUGUCACUGGUUGAAAACCAUUUGGCCGGACUGGAAGGAUGGGUGCUGGCAGACAUGUUUGACUUCCUGUCCAAAGAGCUGGUGAGACUGCAGGAGGAGAGGAGGGUCCACGCCCUGGCCAUGCUGGCCGAGCGGCAGCGCAGGAUGCGUGAAGCCGAAGAGAGUGGCCGGCGCCAGGUGGAAGAGAGGCGCCUGCAGGAGGAGGACCAGAUAUUUAAGGAGGUAAUUAAAGUUCACCAAAGUACUGUAACUUCCUAUCUGGAGGAUAUAAUACUGAACACUGAAGAGACUACUGCAGAAGAACAAGCCAGGGCAGAAAUAGAGAAGAUGGCUGAGGAAAUCAAUGACAUUGCUUAUGAAAUGGAAAGCCGUCGAACUCAGCUUCAGUCAGAGGAGAUUGUUGCCGAGUUGGUUUAUAGUUUCCUGAUCCCAGAGUUGCAAAAGGACUUUGUCAAAGAAAAGGUGAGGAAUGCACAGCAGAAGCACAUCCUCGCAGCCCAUCAGGUCAUCCACAGGCACAUGGAAGACGUGCUCGAGAAGCAUUCUGUUGAGCAACAGCAAGCAUCAGACACUGAGCUACUUGAGGGAGAAACUGAAAAUGAGCAAAACAGCUAAGGUCAGAUGGCCUCUGCCCAGAACCUUAAGGAUGGGACCACCUAUGGCACCCUACCCUGGCAGAGGUGCAGCGAUGGGAUCCCCACCGAGGCUGUGGGGAUGGGGGACAACAGAGCUGGAGGGGUGGGGCCAUCCCCAGAGCCAUUGGAGUAAUGCUGCCAUCCCAGUGGACCUGGAAGGACAUAGCAAGAAGGCAGCCAUCUACAAGCCUGGAAGAGAGUCCUCCCCAGAAACGGACCGUGAUGGCACCUUGAUCUUGGACUUCUAGCCUCCAGAACUGUGAGAAAAUAAAUUCCUAAUAGCCAAAACAAUCUUGAGAAAGAAGGACAAUGCUGGAGACUAUGAUCUUUUUAAAAAGAAGCUGUACAAAUCAUCAUAGAGCACUCCAGUCAUCUGUGCUUCUCCUCAGAUGUGCAGCUCUUAUGGGCUUGUCAAUAUGUGAUGCAUGAGGAAAAUAGAUUUAUUUUCUUUAAACUCCCAAUAAUUUAAAAUGAUUUUCCGUAAUAAUAAUCAAAUGAAGGAGCUUUAUUCUCUUUGGUGUUUCCUAGAGGCUCUACUUCAAGAGAAAAUUUUCUCAUGUCUCAUUCCAACAUUUUGUUAACUAUGAAGAUAUGCCAGCUUGUUGAAUCAAAUAAAAAAUGUUACUGGAUAUUUAAGUGGUUUUGGUUUGCUAUUCAUAGUGCAUUGGCAUUAUCUGUUAAGACUGAAAAUAUGCAAUCCACAUGACCCAGCAUUUCAUUCUCACAACAUUUCAUUCUCCAGAAGAAAUGCAUGAGUAUGUACACCAAGAGGCAUGACAAGAAUGCUGUAGCAGCACUAUUCAUGCUGACCCAAAUGUCUAUCUACAUAGGAACAGAAAAGUAAACCUUGGUAUAUCCAUACAAUGGCACAUCAAGUCACCAUUGAGUUUUAGCUCUGAGAAGUAUAUUCUUGCAACACCCAUGGAGAGGGUGCUGCUGGAGAGCAAUCUGCCCAUCCUACGUUUCGACAAGUGUCAGGGUUGAAUAGAUCUCUCCUCAUUUAAAGAUCAAUAAAUAGGAAAAACAAUAAAUAAACAAAAGCAUCCACAACAAAUCAACAUGGGACCCAUGUAAAGAACUUAUGAAAGAAAAUGUAUGUUAUCUGAAAACAAUAAAAGCCUAUCUUAGAAAAUAUCUUACUGUAAUAGGGAAGAGCUAGUUCUGACUCCAUGUUGGAUCUGUUUCUUUUACUUUAGCCUUUGCUUUUCAUUGCUUUUGUUAUUAGAAUCACUGUCUAUAACUGUAAGCUUAAUGGCCUGCCACAGGGAACCCUGCACCUAUGCCUGACUGUUAAACUACAGUGCCUUUGUUCAGCUCACAGAGAGACAUUCUGACCCUGCCCACCUGUGAAUGGCUGCAGAAAAAAGAAAUUAACACAUCCCCUCCUCAAUGCGGCCAAGCAAGGAGAUAUUUUGCAAGACAAACGGCCUUUUUACUUUACUUCCUCACCUCCUCCCCCUCUCUGUUCUAUAAAAGAAACUGGUAUCCAGAUCCCGAUAAGAUGGUUAUGUUGAGUCUUUAGUCUGCUAUCUUCUUGGCCUGCUGGCUUUCCAAAUAAAGUCACUAU